UACGAAGGGAGCAAGCGUUGUCCGGAUUUAUUGGGCGUAAAGAGCGUGUAGGCGGCCAGACAGGUCCGUUGUGAAAACUGGAGGCUUAACCUCCAGACGUCGAUGGAAACCGUCUGGCUAGAGUCCGGAAGAGGAGAGUGGAAUUCCUGGUGUAGCAGUGAAAUGCGCAGAUAUCAGGAAGAACACCCGUGGCUAAGGCGGCUCUCUAGUACGGUACUGACGCUGAGACGCGAAAGCGUGGGGAGCAAACAGG
rnacentral:rRNA from 1 species